rnacentral:rRNA from 1 species
GUAACGCGUGGGAACGUGCCCUUCUCUACGGAAUAGCCCCGGGAAACUGUGAGUAAUACCGUAUACGCCCUUUGGGGGAAAGAUUUAUCGGAGAAGGAUCGGCCCGCGUUGGAUUAGGUAGUUGGUGAGGUAACGGCUCACCAAGCCGACGAUCCAUAGCUGGUUUGAGAGGAUGAUCAGCCACACUGGGACUGAGACACGGCCCAGACUCCUACGGGAGGCAGCAGUGGGGAAUCUUAGACAAUGGGGGCAACCCUGAUCUAGCCAUGCCGCGUGAGUGAUGAAGGCCUUAGGGUUGUAAAGCUCUUUCAGCUGGGAAGAUAAUGACGGUACCAGCAGAAGAAGCCCCGGCUAACUCCGUGCCAGCAGCCGCGGUAAUACGGAGGGGGCUAGCGUUGUUCGGAAUUACUGGGCGUAAAGCGCACGUAGGCGGACUGGAAAGUCAGAGGUGAAAUCCCAGGGCUCAACCUUGGAACUGCCUUUGGAACUAUCAGUCUGGAGUUCGAGAGAGGUGAGUGGAAUUCCGAGUGUAGAGGUGAAAUUCGUAGAUAUUCGGAGGAACACCAGUGGCGAAGGCGGCUCACUGGCUCGAUACUGACGCUGAGGUG